GGUUGUGGCUCAGCGGUAGAGCACUUGCUUAGCAUGUGUGAGGCCCUGGGUUCGAUCCUCAGCACCA
rnacentral:tRNA from 1 species